AUUAGAAAGCUCUUUCACCAAAGCCCUGUUUAAGCCAUUUAAAAUUGAAAUUAAAAAUUACAUUCUAGGUUUUCAUCUUAUCACUUUUCUGUUAGCUUCUUCUUCCCUUAAUCGCUGCCGCCACUCACGACGACCACCACCACCACAAACCGCCUUUUCACUAUUCAUCAUUCAUCUCUUUCACUGAUAAGCCCUAAAAACUUCAUCCCAGACUUCGCUCCCUCCGUGCCGAUUUCCCUUCUUCAAAUCUCAACCUGCUUUUCUUGUUACACUCAGAUUCUCCGUACUUUCUUCACGAUCAACGUCGCCAUUCUUCUUCGAUUCUCGCUUUUGCUUUCGUUUCAUUGAAGCUGCGUCGCCAGAAAAACUAAACUCUUUUCUGCUUCAGUGAAGUUCUCGGAGCGACUCGAAUCCAGAUAAAAUCUUGUAUUCGAUCUCAAGAAUCUGAGUGGACCUGUUUCCUCAACGCUUUACCUCGGAUAUUCACUCUUCAUGGUUCUAGCAAUCAUGUUGGUGACAGGCACAGUUGGAUUAAUCCUCUCUUCAUUCAGGAUGAUAAACGUUGGUCAGGAAUAUCUUUGCUAGUUAGGGGUUACUUGUGAAGAGUGAAGUUCGGAUCGUUUCCAAGAAUCUUAUAGUGCGUGGUUUCAGAAGCUGUUGACUUUCUCUACAGUGUCCUGGACAGCGUAAUGAAGUAGAUUGUGAUUUUUACAUGUUGAAGUUUAUGAAAGAAAUUCUUCUUAUGGAUCGAAUAGAGAUUCCAUCCAAGUACUUUGAUGAAUUCAAGUGUGCUUAUUACUCAAGUUCUCAGUUGGAAGAACUUAAGGAGGAUUGGUGUAAAUUCAUGAUUGAGUCGAAAGUUAUAUAAGGUUAUAUGUGCAGAUGUAGAAGAUAGAGAUGAAUAGAUUUUGUAAUGGUAUAAUGGUGCAAACAAAAUGUGGCAUAUCUUUUGGUGUUGUUUUUUUUGUAAAAGUAUAUGUACAAGAGUAAUAGUAUAUAUAAGUAGA